ensembl:lncRNA
GUUUUGUUAGUAAGACAGUCUGUAGCCUCUCAGUAGGUUUGUAUGAAGUAUGCUUACUGAUUCUUUGUUGGGUGUAUUUUGUGUAGAUUGUUUUUACAGUAACUUAUGUUUCUGUUCAACAAGCACACAUGGCAUAUGUCUUUGAGACGUAAAUUCAAAUCAGAGCGGGCACCACUAGUCGACAGUGAGGCAGUGAGGCGUUGUAAGGAGAAGUUUGGUUCUACGAGGAGAGGGCAGCCUAAUAAAUGUCAACGAACAAGUCAGAGAAAUGUUUGUCAGGGACCAUGCGUCCAAGGAGAGGAUUUAUUAUCCAUAGACGCCCACUUAAAGGUCUUACAGUGCCAAUGUCAGAAGAUGCAACCAGAUACCAUGGUGGUUCAUAACCGUAUGCAGCAAACGUUUGCUUGGCGGCAAAAAGAAAUUGCAGAUGGUAUGCCUGUGGAGGAUGUGUACCCCUUCUUAGGGAUGCCUACUGGUCUGUGCAACGAACUCGGGUGGAUCCAACCAACAACGGGUAAUGUAAGCCAGCGAUUUCGUGAAGGGCUCUCAUGUGUUGCAGCAAAGGUGAUUGACCUUACACGAGGGAAAACCCCACUCUACCAGCUCUACCUUGAUGCAAGAGAGGAGGCUCUCACUGAUGACCUACCAGAUCUUGACACAAGGGCUGCACUUUUAUUCCUGCCAUACGUCUUCAAGGAGAAACUGGAUCUCUUUGUCAUACUUGGAGAGGUUCAUCCUAAAACCCCCUAUCCAACUGUUCAGCUACUUCAUGAAGACUGGAAACCAGUGUUCUCCAGAAGCGCUCCAAACAUUGUGAAGUUGGAUGGCAGUGAAGUGUGCAGAACCUCGUGUAUUUUUGAAGGAAUCAUCUCUUCUUUCUGCUUGUAUUUUGUCUUCAACCUUGCUUACCCAAAAC